rnacentral:rRNA from 1 species
AACGAACGCUGGCGGCAGGCCUAACACAUGCAAGUCGAACGCUGUAGCAAUACAGAGUGGCAGACGGGUGAGUAACGCGUGGGAACCUUCCCAGUGGUGCGGAAUAGCUCAGGGAAACUUGAGGUAAUACCGCAUAAGCCCCUAGGGGGAAAGAUUUAUCGCCAUUGGAUGGGCCCGCGUCGGAUUAGCUAGUUGGUGAGGUAAUGGCUCACCAAGGCAACGAUCCGUAGCUGGUUUGAGAGAAUGACCAGCCACACUGGGACUGAGACACGGCCCAGACUCCUACGGGAGGCAGCAGUGGGGAAUCUUGGACAAUGGGCGCAAGCCUGAUCCAGCCAUGCCGCGUGAGUGACGAAGGCCUUAGGGUUGUAAAGCUCUUUUGCCGGGGACGAUAAUGACGGUACCCGGAGAAUAAGUCCCGGCUAACUUCGUGCCAGCCGCCGCCGUAA